rnacentral:rRNA from 1 species
UACGUAGGGUCCGAGCGUUGUCCGGAAUUAUUGGGCGUAAAGGGCUCGUAGGCGGUCUGUUGCGUCGGGAGUGAAAACUUACAGCUUAACUGUGAGCGUGCUUCCGAUACGGGCAGACUUGAGGUAUUCAGGGGAGAACGGAAUUCCUGGUGUAGCGGUGAAAUGCAUUGAGAUCGGAAAGAACACCAACGGCGAAAGCACUCUGCUGGGCCGACACUGACACUGAGAGACGAAAGCUAGGGGAGCAAAUGGGAUUAGGAAACCCCUGAUGAGUACCCAGAC